UGGAGGGCUGCUACUGGCAGGACAGGCCAGUUGUGGGCAGAGGGGAGGAUGGGGACAGCAUGUGUGGGGCAGUGGUGCAGCACUGUGGGGAAGAGUUUCUUUGGGGAAGGCAGGAGGUCGCUGCCCCUCUAAUCAAAGCUCUCUCUGCCCCUUGCUGCAGGUGCUGGAGUGACCACCCAGGACUUCUGCAGCUCUCCAGGAUUGCAGGAGCAUGGAGGUAACUACCAGGCUCCAGUCCUGUACCUCAACACUUCCAGUGCCGAGGAGGGGGAAGUAGUUUUCUUUCAAUGUACCAUUGAUGCUCAUUUUCCUGCUACGCGAGUUGUCUUCUGCAAGAACGGGAUGGAGGAGCACAGCCUGAAAGCUCAGCUGGGCAGGGUCAUCUACCCUCUAGUAGUGAAUAUCACCUCCAAAAGUGCUGGGACGUACACGUGUGGGUACCAGCAGAGGAAUGACAGCAACUGGGUGAGGAGCUCUGCUCUCAGUGCUCCCUGGACGCUGUCUGUGGCAGGCAGCAGCCCCUCACACAAGGCCCAGCUCCCUUCCAGAGGGUCAGCCAUGCCCCUGGAGGUCUGGAUCCUGCGCUCUGCCCUCAGCCUGCUCCUGCUGCUGUCUGCCCCCAUCAUCACCCUCCUCCUGGAGAGAUGCAGCCACGGUGCCCACGAGGCCAGGCAGCCCUGAGACGUCCCUGUCGCCAUGGUGCUCUGAUGUCCCCCUGGGCUCCAUGCUUUCCCCAGCCUGCUCCAUCAUGCUCAGGGCAUGCCCCCCACACAUUUGCCAGACUCCCGCUGCCGUUGGGUUCAAGGCAGCUGUGGCAGCAUGCCCAAGGGAUGUGCUGCCACUGCUCUGCUUUCCUUGGCUCAGCGCCUGCUCUCUGCUUACAUCAAGGAUUACCACUGGAUCGCAGACCCUCCCAGCUGGGUUCAACCCCAGCACCCACAUGGCUGCCCUGCCUGCUCUCAGAAUCACAUCUACAUCAUAGGAUACACCUCUACAUACCGGGAAAACGUGAGGGGAUGGAGUCAUGGCUGUACCCCCAGGAAGCCAUGCUCUGCAGCUCCUGCAUCACUCCAGCACCUUCCUGUGCCCAGGGUGGUGCUGGCCGCGAUGGGCACAUCCCCAAAUGAUUACGAUGCCCCCUCUCGAGGCACCUUGGUGGGUAUUGGUCAUGUUGGAGGCGAGUUAUAAAGGAUUGGUUUAGAAUGCACCAGCUGAUGUUGCUGCUCUGUAUUUAAGAGGGAAGCCAGCAAACAGAGCUGGGAGAGCUGCUCUAUGACUGCCAUAUGGGGCCAUGUGUCCUGCAAGGGAGCUGCUGUUCCCUUUGCCCUGCCACCCAAGAGUUCCCCUACCUGCUGGCAUUGCCCUGGCAGAUUGGCAUGGAAAAGUGCUGCUGUGAGGAUGGCUGAGGCCAUGCAGAUGUCCAGGGGGUGGCCAUGCCUGGCACUCUGCAUCCCAUGCACACCCAUCCCUGUGCUUGGUCUUUUUUCUCUCAACACGCCAUCCCCAGUAGACAGCCCUGAGCAGGGACAUUGUGCAUGGGGGCAUCGAACUGUGGGGCAGGUGGGGAUGGGGUCUCAGCAUGGAUGACCCCCACACCCACAGACCAUCCCCAGCCUUACACUAUGGGGUUUUAGCCAUCCCACACCAAUACCUGGAAGGAGUCAAGGUGUCCCUUCUCUGCAGCUCCCAGUACUGACAUCUGGGGCCUUGGUGUGCAGUGGGGUUCUCUGGGACAAGAUGGGUUCAGGCAGGACAGGAGCUGCCCUACUGGGAGGCACUUGGCUGCAUGGCUGCACGGAGAGAAUAGGGGAUAAGAAAAUGGGGUCAAAACUCAGCAAGAGCUGCUUGGAGGCAGAGCUGGAGGGGACAUGGGUUUCACGCUCCUUCCUGCAAGCACAUUCCCUCACCUCCCAUGCCUUCAUCAAAGCACUUGUCCCACAUUUUUCUUCAGGCCCAUGCAUGCAUGCUUCACAGCACAAGCCUCCAGGAUACUCUUCCUCAAAGGGAAUAUACAGAUUUGGGUGGACAGAGCUACUCCCUCAUUCUCAUACAGCCUCCAAACCUCCCUGGUGAGCGAGUUGCACUGUGGUGCCAGCUGCAAACUUUCUGAGGGAAACCCCUGACCAGCAUCCUGAGAGUAAUGAAGAUGUUGAAUGGAAUUGGAUGUAAUUUGGAUCUCUGGAGUACGCUGCUAGUGAGCAGCCUUCAGCCAGUAUGAUACAAUUGCCUAAAGUAACUAGGAAAAUGAAACUAACAUUCACAUUGUAAAGAAAAUGUACAGCAUUGAAGAGGCUUUCAGGGUAGGGCAUAGCUGCAUUACCUAAGCGUUCCAUAGGCUUCCAACCUUAGAUGCUAUCACACUGGGGGUACCUGUUGUGCAGGCUCUAAGGAACAGUAUGGAGCAUAGAGUGGAGUGGAGACACCGCAGCUAGGCUCUGUGACCAGGUGGGGACUCGAUUGUUCUUGUGCACAGUGAGACCGAUAAGCCGCACUUUUUGCAACCCUGAGCCAAGGGCCUGUCAUGUUUUAACAAAUGCUGUACCCUUGUGUACUUUUCCUCAUUGAAAUAUCAUUAUAAUACCAAAACACACCUCCAUCCCAAAAGCUACCUGCCUCCAAUGAGCGACCACCCCUCACUGAGCAUGCACUCUGAAUUUCUCAGAGCCUAUUACUUUAACCAAAAUGGGAGAACAUUUCAUCAGUCACAUGCUUGACUAGAGUCAUUCAAGCUCCACCUGAAAGAUAGAAAAUAAUAUAAAGUGGCCUAAGAGAGAGGGGAUGUUAGGGAAGAUACCACCGUCAGGGGAGAUACCACCCCGAGGGAAUACACCAUCCUGAGGACCUCCUGACUCCUGGGAUCAGUUGAUGGGCUGAGCUUCUCUUCCACCCUCUCCCCCAAUGGGAUGCCUUUGUCUGAGAUUUGAACACGUGGCUAUACUGUGUGUCUCCGCGGAAACUUUGAAAUCUCUAUAGAGUCUUUGUGCCUUUUAACACACUUCCAGGUUGCACACCUGUGUCACCUACAUGUAUGUCACCUGUGUAUUUCAUACAUGCUAGCUUGCUUUUGCAGACAGUAACUAUGGCUGGCAAUCCAAAGAACCUGUGUAACUGUUGCUGUAAUAAAUCACACUUGAAUGCAUUGUUCCUACCCAUGAUAGUGUGAAAUGUGUUCAUCUGAUUCGUGUCAAUAUGGAACAAUCCUCGGGCCACAUGAUAUGAUGAAAUGUGACCUUCUGUCUUUCAUACUCUUGUAUAACCACAAGUCUAAGAAAAGCAGGGUGGUUAAUGCAUAUAGUUCUUGUAUCUUACAAAGGAAUGUUCCAGCAAGAGUUGUCAAUAGGGGAUAAGAGAACAAAGGGGUUUCAGAAUAACUGCUACCUAUGAUGACUAUUGCAUGGGACACUAUGCAAGUCUCUGAUAUCUGGCCAGGAGACUAAGGAGAAGGGGAAAGCUGAAGGAUGACUCAAAGACAAAGCUUGCAGGGGACACAGCACAAGUUUCUGACAUCCGGCCAAGUUGGACAAAGGAGAAAGACAAGAAAAAUAGCCUGAGAGGAAGACUACGAGCCUUCAGCAUGAGAGAACCCCAGAGGGACCACUGGAGACUGAUACGCAUGUGCCAGUAGGAGGGCUCAGAUUCUGGGAACUAAUUAUAAUAACCCUGCCUUUUCUAGAAGUAACAUGUAGGAGCCUAGGAGCAUAAAAACCACAUGCCUGAUGUAACUGUUGUGCGUCUUGGUGGAGUAGAGACUCCCGACACACCCAGCACUGUUUGCUUACCUCUAUCCGUUUAAUAAGUUGUAAAUUUUGUAAUCCUAUUUGGUACUUAGUCAUUUAUUACAAUAGUUCUCAUUAAACACAACUAGAGUAAGGGUGGUUAUACGUUUUUGGUGAAUCCGUGACCAUGGUAGUUCAGUGCUCUGAAUCCAACCAGGCGCCUAAUGGUUAAUGAGGUAUUGGUGAAUCUGUGAUUGGGAUAGUUCAGUACCAUGAAUCCGACCGGACCCAUAACAGUUAAUCAGCUACACCCCUUAACACGACACCAGACCACCUGGUUCUGCGUGGGCUCCUCUCCAGGGGCUGCAGCUCCAGCCUAAGGCCUGCUCCUGUGGGGCCUUUCCAUGGGCCACAGUCACCUGCUCCACCAGGGGCUCCUCCA